rnacentral:rRNA from 1 species
AUGUCAAUACAACCAGAGGUGACCAGUAGCUGUGUUUUGCAUAUCACCAUCACCCACUUGUUUUACCAUGUAACAGAGGAGGUACUAGAUGAGCUAUUCGGUGCCUAUGGGGUGCACGAUCUGUGUGUGUCACAUAAAUCGACACACAUGGAGGUGUUUGUGGUGUUCCAAUCAUGGCUGGAGGCGAGCCAAGCUAAGGGUGCACUGCAUGGACGGUGCAUCUAUGAUGGUUCCUGGCUUUUGGACAUCCAGCACGCCCCAUCAUCGAUCAGCGUCCACAGGCUGCCCAACUCUGAACCUGUCGUGGUCGAUUGGGAUUGUGUGGAGCUGGCGGAUCAUGUGGAGCUGGAACAACUCGUCUCUCUGCCAACUCCAUCGGCUUUAACUUCUGCUCUGGCCUCCGCAACAAUCACAUCCAUCGCAAUAUGUGAGGCGGCAGCCCAUGACACCGCAUCAUCGACUGCCAAUGACGUCAGGAGGGCUCAUGGGGUCGAGGACGUCCUCCCUUCUUCCACCGGUUGCAUCAGCAUAGUGCCUGCAAGCUGCUCGGUGUUAUGUCUCCAGAACAACUGUGACAAGCUGACGUGCACCUUCAUGUCCCGCACUGCUCCGAGUAUCACUCAUCACGUGCAAGCGCAUGGGCCCACAACUUGGCCGUUCCCUUCUCUGGUUAUGUGCAUAGGUGGUAGCUGUGUGCCACGACCAUUGCCAUGCCCGUCCUUCAUGUGUGACCGAGGAGGCGAUUGUUGA